UACGUAGGGACCGAGCGUUGUCCGGAUUCAUUGGGCGUAAAGAGCUCGUAGGCGGCCACUCAAGUCGAAUGUGAAACCUCGAGGCUCAACCUCGAGCCUGCAUUCGAUACUGGGCGGCUAGAGUCUGGUAGGGGGAUCUGGAAUUCCUGGUGUAGCGGUGGAAUGCGCAGAUAUCAGGAGGAACACCGGUGGCGAAGGCGGGAUCCUGGGCCAGUACUGACGCUGAGGCACGAAAGCGUGGGGAUCAAACAGG
rnacentral:rRNA from 1 species